CCUACGGGUGGCAGCAGUGGGGAAUAUUGGACAAUGGGGGAACCCUGAUCCAGCCAUGCCGCGUGUGUGAAGAAGGCCCUCGGGUUGUAAAGCACUUUCAGUGAGGAAGAACGCCUGGUGGUUAAUACCCAUCAGGAAAGACAUCACUCACAGAAGAAGCACCGGCUAACUCCGUGCCAGCAGCCGCGGUAAUACGGAGGGUGCGAGCGUUAAUCGGAAUUACUGGGCGUAAAGCGCGCGUAGGUGGCUUGAUAAGCCGGUUGUGAAAGCCCCGGGCUCAACCUGGGAACGGCAUCCGGAACUGUCAAGCUAGAGUGCAGGAGAGGAAGGUAGAAUUCCCGGUGUAGCGGUGAAAUGCGUAGAGAUCGGGAGGAAUACCAGUGGCGAAGGCGGCCUUCUGGACUGACACUGACACUGAGGUGCGAAAGCGUGGGUAGCAAACAGGAUUAGAUACCCUGGUAGUC
rnacentral:rRNA from 1 species